CACUCAUUAACUCAGAGACUUUGUCAGGUAGACUAUGUAUACUUAUGUUAGUUAAAUCUUCACAGAGGAGGUUUUAUUGUUUUAAACUGGUACUUAUGCAAAAUAAUCCUCAAAAAUUUUAUAGGUGAAAUACUCAAAUUUGGUGGAUGCAAUUAACAUUUUCAGUCAGGACCCUACUGCCCAGAGUAGACAAACUAAGUAAGCAGUGGCCAAUUUAGUGCUGCAACUGAGUGAAGUUGACAUCAUCACAGAUCCUUCUGUAUCUGAAGGAUAUAGAAGGAUCCUCUUUUCCUCAUUCUCCUUUAAUCAUUCUCCUUUGCCUCAUUCUUCUUUUAUCAUUCUGUAUACACUUUGCAGGGUAUUUUGAGACAGAUUUUUUUAAAGAACAGUUGAGUUGGCCAGGAUUUUAUAUCUGUUUGCAUGGCUUUGUUAUUUGCCAUUCACUAAGGUGAAUGGAUACCCAAUUGCUAACAGCAUCAUAUACCCUAGGGUUCUAUGCCAGAUAGUGUUCCACUGAUUUAAAAGAAUAUGGACUGCCAU
rnacentral:lncRNA from 1 species